rnacentral:tRNA from 1 species
GGCAAGAUGGCCGAGCGGUUAAGGCGCCAGAUUAAGGUUCUGGUCUCGAAAGGGGCGUGGGUUCGAGUCCCACUCUUGUCA